UACAGAGGGUGCGAGCGUUGUCCGGAAUUAUUGGGCGUAAAGAGCUCGUAGGCGGUCUGUCGCGUCGGUCGUGAAAACUUGGGGCUUAACCCUGAGCUUGCGGUCGAUACGGGCAUGACUGGAGUUCGGCAGGGGAGACUGGAAUUCCUGGUGUAGCGGUGAAAUGCGCAGAUAUCAGGAGGAGCACCGGUGGCGAAGGCGGGUCUCUGGGCCGAUACUGACGCUGAGGAGCGAAAGCGUGGGGAGCAAACAGG
rnacentral:rRNA from 1 species